rnacentral:rRNA from 1 species
GACGAACGCUGGCGGCGUGCCUAACACAUGCAAGUCGAACGAGGUCCAAGGGAGCUUGCUCCCUGAAGACCUAGUGGCGAACGGGUGAGUAACACGUGAGAAACCUGCCCUCGAGUGGGGAAUAACCCGGGGAAACCCGGGCUAAUACCGCAUACGCUCCUCUGGUCGCAUGGCCGGAGGAGGAAAGUUUUUCGCUCAAGGAGGGUCUCGCGGCCUAUCAGCUUGUUGGCGGGGUAACGGCCCACCAAGGCUACGACGGGUAGCUGGUUUGAGAGAACGAUCAGCCACACUGGGACUGAGACACGGCCCAGACUCCUACGGGAGGCAGCAGUGGGGAAUCUUGCGCAAUGGGCGAAAGCCUGACGCAGCAACGCCGCGUGCGGGAUGACGGCCUUCGUGGUUGUAAACCGCUUUCAGCAGGGACGAAAAUGACGGUACCUGCAGAAGAAGCUCCGGCUGACUACGUGCCAGCCGCCGCGGUAA